GGACUACUGGGGUAUCUAAUCCUGUUUGAUCCCCACGCUUUCGGGUCUCAGCGUCAAUGUUGGCCCAGUUACCCGCCUUCGCCUCCGGUGUUCCUGUUGAUAUCUACGUAUUUCACCACUACACCAACAAUUCCAGUAACCUCUACCACAUUCAAGACUAGCAGUAUCAAGUGCACUUCCAGGGUUGAGCCCUGGGAUUUCACACCUGACUUAUUAGUCCGCCUACACCCGCUUUACGCCCAAUAAUUCCGAACAACGCUAGGAUCCCUCGUCUUACCGCGGCUGCUGGCAC
rnacentral:rRNA from 1 species